GUACGCCUCAAUACGUUACACAAUAGGAUUAACCCAUCUCGUUAAUAAACAGUAUUCAUCUAUCGUAUCGUUUUUUUUUUUUUUUGUCUAUGAAUCUGGAGAAAAGAAUACUAAAAUAUGUGUUUAGAACCCUCGCAGGGUGCGUUUUAUUUUAUCAAUCAGUAGGCGAGUUUACAGGACCUCUUCUCUUUUUUAAACGGUAACUCGCCAUUCGAUACAGUUCUUUACAACCAACUCUAUAACCUUCCGCAGUCCUCGUUUUC